ACGCUCGACACCUACGGAGGCAGCAGUUGGGAAUAUUGGACAAUGGAGGAAACUCUGAUCCAGUGACGCCGCGUGAAGGAAGAAGGUCUUCGGAUUGUAAAACUUAUUUUUGUCAGGGAAAGAAAAAAAUGACUGUACCUGAAGAAAAAGCACCGGCUAACUACGUGCCAGCACGCCGUACGGUAAUUCUGGAGGCGGGUCCGUGGGACGAAACGGC
rnacentral:rRNA from 1 species